rnacentral:lncRNA from 1 species
UUAGGGAAAUCAGUAGCACAUAGAACCAACAUUUUUACAGUUGGGAGAUAUUCCAAAAGGUUUCUAAUAUCUUAGCCAUAGAAUUGGCAGGAAGUUGUUCAUAUGCUUACUGGAAUACUUUUGUACUCUACUAGUAGUGCAGUAGUCCUUUAGAUGUAUGAUUGGUAGUGCUAGAUAUAUAAUUCAGUAUAGCUGUUGGAAGUAAAAUCAUGAUUAGAAUUUAGAAUAGAAUAAAAUUGUGUGUUAAUCUUUGUUAAUGUUGUAAUAC